UCCGGUUUGUCACCGGCAGUCUCACUAGAGUGCCCCUUGCGGUGGCAACUAGUGACAAGGGUUGCGCUCGUUGCGGGACUUAACCCAACAUCUCACGACACGAGCUGACGACAGCCAUGCAGCACCUGUGUCCAGGCUCCCUUUCGGGCACACCCGCCUCUCAGCGGGCUUCCUGGCAUGUCGAGGGUAGGUAAGGUUCUUCGCGUUGCAUCGAAUUAAUCCACAUCAUCCACCGCUUGUGCGGGUCCCCGUCAAUUCCUUUGAGUUUUAAUCUUGCGACCGUACUCCCCAGGCGGAAUGCUUAAUGCGUUAGCUGCGACACUGACGAGCAUGCUCGCCAACGUCUAGCAUUCAUCGUUUACGGCGUGGACUGC
rnacentral:misc_RNA from 1 species